AUCAGCUCCUUUGGGGUGUUCUGUGAGCCCUGAUCCUUGGAAGGGACUGGUCACUCCUGUUUGCAGGAUGAGUUCUCCCUGUUGUGAUUUGUGCCACCUCAAAAAAGCCCAAUGUAAGGCAUCAUCACAGGCACGGAGAACCAGUCUCGCUGUGCUGCCAACCCACAUCUGAAGAGCUGGUAGCAUGCCUUCAUGCCAUCAAAACCUUUCCACCUGGAUGUCUCAAUGCAUUUGAGAGAAGAGUUGUGGUGCUCCUGGCUGCAGAUCCGUGGGCAAACAGGCACACACACACACACAGCAGAGUCCCAUCACUCGACAGUCUUGGAAAACGCAAGGACUUCCUGAAAAUGGAAGAGGGCUUUUAUCUAGCCAUCAGCCUUGCUCCAGCUGUGCCAGCCUAUUUCCGUCCAACUCUCGGGCCUUUGUGGAUGAAGUCCAUCAGCCUCGUGGAGCUGGAGCUCAAUCCAGAGCAUCUCAGCAAAGCAGAGCAGCACCUACCUGGAAGGCAGCUCAGGGCACCCGCCAAGCCCUGACCUUGUGAUGGAGACUUAAAUCACGUUCAUCAGGGGUGAGGAGCUGUGGGAUUAACCCCUUGGCUUGCUCCUCACCCCCUUCAGACAGAAAAGCUUUUAAUGGGUCAGCAGAUAAAAAAGCAGCAGUGAAAACAUUCCCUUAUCUCCCCUGCCAUGCCUGGUCUCUGUAAUACAACUGAUUCCUGCGAUGUGCAGACCUACUCAAACAAGUUUAUCUUCAUUCGAGGAAUAGUCAUACAGCGAGAUUGCAGUGUAAUUACCUUCUCACAAACCCUAACUGGAAAUCUUCACAUCCAGUCAUUAGCUUUAAGACAGGCAGACAGGCAAUUAUAUCUGAAUAAAUGACUGAGAAAUGAAUCUGGGAGACUCUCACCCCUGGUCCAAGCCCAGUUCACAGCUGUGGAUGUAGAGCAAGCUGACUGUCAGCUCUACCUGCACUCAGCAGGCCCCCGCAGGUGACCCCAGACCAACCUCCCUGUGACCCUGGCAUGGGCAAGCUACCUGCUCACCUCCUCCAUGGGCUGUGAUGGACCUGGGUGACCCUGGCACAGCCCAGCCUGAGGCUCCCACACCUCCUCAGCAUUUCACUCUUGGCUGAACUUCUCCUUCACCUUUUCCCUUCCUCUGUUUUCCCAGUAGGUUUAUAAGCCUCCUUGCUGAAUGUGUGAAGUCUCCUAAACAGGUGAGCAAUAAAACAUACGAGACCUCGUGGCAGGGAGGUAGCAGCACUGCAGUCUGGUGGUUGGAGCAAGCAGGCAGCACGCCAGGACACUCGAGGUCAGUGCUUGGUUCUACCAUAAACUGCUCAGUGGCCUGGGAAAGGGGCAGAAGGCAGCAGGCUUUCCCCAGGAGCUGGGCUUUUCCACAGCAGUCAGCCCUUCUGAAGGGCCUAGUGGCAUAGAAAGCCCCAAGGACAGUCGGGAACG